GACUGUCAGCAACUGGAGAACAAAGGCACCCAAGUGCUAGUUCUUAAGCAAUAUUCUUCAAGAGAAUGUUCUGUGGGAAAACUGCAUCUCAAAUCUCAAUGUUGCUGAGCAAUGUAGAUAUGACACAGCUCUGGUGAGUUUGUUCCUUGAACUAUGAUCUUAGAUAAGGCACAUUCUUCUAGAUUUGCCAUUGCACCCCAAACCUUUUAUGUUCUUUUUGCAUCUCUAUGACAGAAUCUAUCAAAUAGCAGGGAUUAGUUUAUUUACUCGAUGUUCACUUCCUUGGUGCAUAUUUUUUUAGGUAAAAGUAGAAUGCAUUACUUUCUUUUCUUGAGAAAAUUCACUGCUUUAGUGUUCAAUGAAAGUGAGGAAGGGAAAAGUGGGAGGUGGACAAAUCUGUCUUCUUCAUCCAAAGGGACUUUUCUUAGAUAGUUUUGAGUCAUAGUUUACCAGUUUAACUAAAAAUUCUGCUGGAAAACCCUCUGCUUCUGAAACAUGCAUGCACGUUUGUCAUUCCACAUAGUUUAAAGCUAAUUAUCGAUACCACUUUAGUUAAAAUAGUUAUGAUUCUCAACAAAGUUGUGAAGAAUCCACACCAUGCCUAUAGAAUUUCAUUUCAUUAUUUCUAAUCUCAAGUCUCAUAAGCCAUAUCCCAUUUAGCAAUUAUGUCUUGGUCUUUUGGAUGGCCAGUGUUUUCAUGCCUGAUGAAGCUGUCCAAGAAGAUGCCCACCUCAUUAAGGUAACAACUAUUUCAAUAACAUCUCCAACCUUCCAAGUAAAAAGGUUAUUUGCAUGACUUGAACACUGAUCGACCAUGUCGUAACAGGGUAAUUUUACCCUCCCACCAAAUGUCAUCUCCUCCCAACCUUAUCAAGUUGCCUUCCCUAAUUAGGAUCCUUUGUCCUAUGUUUGCCAGGCUCAUCCAUCCUUUAUCCUAUGUAUUCACCUGGUGCACAUGAAGAACUCAUUAGUUAACAGCUAAACUUGAAGAUCAGCUUGUAAGUUGUACCUUACGAGUAGACAAGGCAUGACAACAACCUUUCAUCACCUCAUCCAGCCACAGAGACUGCAUGCUCAACAACAAUGGUUGGACCUCCUUUCGAUGGAUGGUUUCCUAGUGUGAGGAGAAGAACAAUCCUGAACCUUUGAGGGAGAGAGUCAGUCUUAUGGUUGGACAAUCAAGUCAAAUGACAAAAAAGAAAAGGCAACCAAUAUAAAAUUCUGGCUCAUUUUAUAGUAUAAUUCUGAGUCGAGAGUAGAAAAAAAUUCUGACUUGGAUAUAUGUAAUGGUCAAGCAUCUCCUAGUGGAAGGCAAUUUCACUAAGAUUAUAGGAGUUGGACAAGUUCAGCCGAUGAGAGAGUUAAUGGCCUAUUAAAGUAUCAGGAGCCAUUAGAAUACGAUAACUUCUGAAUAGAGGCAUUCACAGCAUUUAAUAGGUGCAAUAAUGACUAACCAAACCUUGCAUCCAAAUAUUCUGAAGCUUCCAAUAAUAAUUUAAACCAAAUGUUAAAUCAAAGACCAUAAGGACGUGCAGCAUAAAAACAGCAGACUGGCUUGGCUUUGUCUCUCUUGACUUGAUGGUUGGUGGCGGCUUCAACCGAAGAAUGAGACCUUUGUAGUAGGUGCACAUGCAUUUAAUGUUUGGAUUACAGCUAGGACAAAAACAAAGCUGUAAGCUUGCGGAGAGAGUUCUUUUGGGUUUUUCUUUUGACUCGACCUUCCAACUAAAUGUUCACUGCAGUCGUAGCAAGUCGAAUGUUAGGAUGGGUUAAAUACCUUUCAAGUGUCCUUUGAUCCGGUUUAGAACAUGUUUAGAUUAACAAGUAGACAAUAUUUUUCCACUGUGUAUAGAAAGCAAAAACGAAUCAUAAUGAUCAGUAUCUUUUAACCCAUCCUAACAUCCCUUGUCAUGACAAUAAACUUUCUUUUUCUCUGUCCCUCUCUUUUAUAGUGGGGAAGUUUUGGAUCCAUCUAUCCUUUGUGUUUUCUUCUGCACGUAUAAAAGACAUGAGCGUUGUUUCCUCGAAGUGUAUGUAUGAAUGAGCCAAGUCAAUCAUUUAUUUUCUAGAUUCGGUUGAGCAGUUCUUCUCUUAUACGUGACAAAUCUAAGUUCUGUUGUUUUGACAUUAUAUAUUGCAG
rnacentral:lncRNA from 1 species